rnacentral:misc_RNA from 1 species
UCUCCGUAGGUGAACCUGCGGAGGGAUCAUUACAGAGUUCUCGCCCUCGUGGGUAUAUCUCCCACCCACUGUUAUCUUCAUUGUGUUCCUUUCUCCGGCCGCCUGGCCCCCCCCGGCCGCCGGCUCCGGCUUGGGCGCCCCCGCCAGAUGCGCACCAUACUCUGCAAGUUAUUGUCGUUUGAGUACUAUAUAAUAGUUAAAACUUUUAACAACGGAUCCCUUGGUUCUGGCAUUGCCGAAGAACGCAGCAGAUUUGCAGAGCAGACGUCUGAACUCCAC